GGGUUGUGAGGUUAAGCGACUAAGCGUACACGGUGGAUGCCCUGGCAGUCAGAGGCGAUGAAGGGCGUGCUAAUCUGCGAUAAGCGCCGGUAAGGUGAUAUGAACCGUUAUAACCGGCGAUACCCGAAUGGGGAAACCCAGUGUGACUCGUCACACUAUCAUUAACUGAAUCCAUAGGUUAAUGAGGCGAACCGGGGGAACUGAAACAUCUAAGUACCCCGAGGAAAAGAAAUCAACCGAGAUUCCCCCAGUAGCGGCGAGCGAACGGGGAGGAGCCCAGAGCCUGAAUCAGCAUGUGUGUUAGUGGAAGCGUCUGGAAAGGCGCGCGAUACAGGGUGACAGCCCCGUACACAAAAGCGCAUGUGUUGUGAGCUCGAUGAGUAGGGCGGGACACGUGGUAUCCUGUCUGAAUAUGGGGGGACCAUCCUCCAAGGCUAAAUACUCCUGACUGACCGAUAGUGAACCAGUACCGUGAGGGAAAGGCGAAAAGAACCCCGGCGAGGGGAGUGAAAAAGAACCUGAAACCGUGUACGUACAAGCAGUGGGAGCACAGGUUUACCUGUGUGACUGCGUACCUUUUGUAUAAUGGGUCAGCGACUUAUAUUCUGUAGCAAGGUUAACCGUAUAGGGGAGCCGGAGGGAAACCGAGUCUUAAUUGGGCGUUAAGUUGCAGGGUAUAGACCCGAAACCCGGUGAUCUAGCCAUGGGCAGGUUGAAGGUUGGGUAACACUAACUGGAGGACCGAACCGACUAAUGUUGAAAAAUUAGCGGAUGACCUGUGGCUGGGGGUGAAAGGCCAAUCAAACCGGGAGAUAGCUGGUUCUCCCCGAAAGCUAUUUAGGUAGCGCCUCGUGAAUUCAUCUCCGGGGGUAGAGCACUGUUUCGGCUAGGGGGCCAUCCCGGCUUACCAACCCGAUGCAAACUGCGAAUACCGGAGAAUGUUAUCACGGGAGACACACGGCGGGUGCUAACGUCCGUCGUGAAGAGGGAAACAACCCAGACCGCCAGCUAAGGUCCCAAAGUCAUGGUUAAGUGGGAAACGAUGUGGGAAGGCCCAGACAGCCAGGAUGUUGGCUUAGAAGCAGCCAUCAUUUAAAGAAAGCGUAAUAGCUCACUGGUCGAGUCGGCCUGCGCGGAAGAUGUAACGGGGCUAAACCAUGCACCGAAGCUGCGGCAGCGACACUGUGUGUUGUUGGGUAGGGGAGCGUUCUGUAAGCCUGUGAAGGUGUGUCGUGAGGCAUGCUGGAGGUAUCAGAAGUGCGAAUGCUGACAUAAGUAACGAUAAAGCGGGUGAAAAGCCCGCUCGCCGGAAGACCAAGGGUUCCUGUCCAACGUUAAUCGGGGCAGGGUGAGUCGACCCCUAAGGC
rnacentral:rRNA from 1 species